GGGGGGGUGGGGAAGGGGCGGAUCCGGUUGGGAGCGAUGGCGGGGGCGAUGCUGCUGCUGGUUGGAACAGGCCGGCGGUAAGGGUUUGGCUCCGAGGUGGCUCUCCGGCCGUUCCGACGGCUGGCAAAGCGGCUGGGAAUAUGGGCCAUCCCGGCGUACGUGGUGGCCCACACCGUCGCCCUCGCGCUCUGCUGCCUCCCCUAGGCCGUCUUCUUCGAGGGCAAUUUUUGGGAACUCAAAACCAGUAGCAGAGUGGGCACACAGCAGCAGAUACUUCCGUCUCCUUGCCAGAGGAGUUGAACGCAAUGGUUGGAGAUUUGUGCUUCUUCCUCGGUUCUCACCCUUGCCCUCUUAUGUCAUUAACUAUGGAUUGGCUGCCACUUGAGUCUCCGAUUGACUGAUCAAGUGGACCCAACUGCUGUCUUGUCACAACUACGGCAUUAAAGUUUUCAUUGACAUGAAAGAUUCAAAAGGAGACAGAGAGCUGGGGGACCGUGUUAUGUUGGUGGUUGUUGAGUCCAUGUCUGUGUGCUCAAAAUUAAUACAGGUCAGGCAUGUCUACGUGAAAAAAAUGGCAGAGACCACAAGAGAGUUGGAGAUUGGAAUGGUGGAAGUGGCAGCCACAGAGUCGUUGAUUUCUGGUGUUGGUCAAGACGAGAGAGGGCUAUCAACAGAUGGGAACAAGAACUGAGUCAGGGGUGGGUGAACUCAUGCCUCACACAUGAAACAGAGAUGAGGGUCGUGAGGAGGAUGUCACACGACACCGUUCAGAUUAUGAAUGAUACAAGAGGCAGGUGGGGUGAAAGGGAGAGGGCUUCAUCUUGUGACAGAGCUUGACCGUAUGCCUUGGUGUUUCAACUGGAUGCUCUCUUUUUCUUUGUGUGUGCAGUGCAAUGAAACUUUGCAAUAGAUGCGGCCUCCUCUAUGACCACAUCCAGAAGUAAGGGAAGUCCAUCUUAUAUUUUCUACAGGUUACCAGAAAGCAGAAAAUUGUCAUAUCUCAAUAAUGAGGAGUCUUUGUCUGAAAGAUUAUCCUGCUCAGCAGUAUCUCUGAGACCAAUAAGAUUUAAAUAUUUUCUCGAAGAUUUUCUCAGAAAUUACACCAGUUUUUGUACCCCCUCAAACAUUUUGUAGUCUGUAGGUAGGCUUUGACUUGUCAAAAAGAAAUGUUGUUCAUGAUAUUUUGUUUUCUUUUCUUUUCCUAUCAGACUUCUUGAAGAAAAAUUGCAGUUUGUUUUGUUAA